ACGCCACCCCUCUUCCUGUCACCAGCCCUUCCUCAGUACCCACAGGUGACACCACCCCUCUUCCUGUCACCGACACUUCCUCAGUAUCCAGAGGUGACACCACGUCUCUUCCUGUCACCAGCCCUUCCUCAGCAUCCACAGGUGACAUCACCCCUCUUCCUGUCACCGACGCUUCCUCAGUAUCCACAGGUGACACCACCCCUCUUCCUGUCACCAGCCCUUCCUCAGCAUCCACAGGUCACGCCACCCCUCUUCCUGUCACCGAUGCUUCCUCAGUAUCUACAGGUCACGCCACCCCUCUUCCUGUCACCAGCGCUUCCUCGGCAUCCACAGGUGACACCACCCCUGUUCCUCUCAGCAGUGCUACCUCAGCUUCCACAGUAUCCUCGGACUCCCCUCUGAAGAUGGAAACAUCAGGAAUGACAACACCAUCACUGAAGACAGACGGUGGGAGACACACAGCCACAUCACCACCCCCCACAACCUCCCAGACCAUCAUUUCCACCACUCCCAGCACUGCCAUGCACACCCGCUCCACA
rnacentral:lncRNA from 1 species